UACGGGGGGGGGCAAGCGUUGUUCGGAAUUACUGGGCGUAAAGGGCGCGUAGGCGGCCUUCUAAGUCGGACGUGAAAUCCCUCGGCUUAACCGAGGAACUGCGUCCGAUACUGAAAGGCUUGAAUCCGGGAGAGGGAUGUGGAAUUCCAGGUGUAGCGGUGAAAUGCGCAGAUAUCAGGAGGAACACCGGUGGCGAAGGCGCCACUCUGGGCCGAAACUGACGCUGAGGAGCGAAAGCGUGGGUAGCAAACAGG
rnacentral:rRNA from 1 species